AGUGACGAACUCGUUGCCGUAGCAACCCACAGAGAGCGGAGACCCAAACAUCCCCCGCUGAGUGCCACCAUGGCCACUUCGCAAAAAUCCACAAACUUUUCAUCCCAAUCUGAUGAAAGAUACUCGGAGGAGGAAGGAGGAAGCACAGUGACAAUGUUUGAAGUGUUUGACGGGAGAAUGAGAGAGAAGAUCGUGCUACAGCGGCUCAUAGUGAUUGCUCGGCUCCCCCGCGAUCUCGCUGACAGGACAGAACUGGGAGCUCAUUAUGAAAAACUCAACUUUCAGUUGAGCAAGCUGUACACGUGGGAUUACAUGACGGGCCUGCUGCUGAUUUAUCCGUCCUGUCUGCUUCAUGUCAUUGAAUCUUCCAGGGAGGUUCUGGUUGCUGUGUUGAAAGACCUUAAAGAUAUGCAGCAACAGUCAGACGGUAUUUUGCUGGAAGCUCCCAAGGUUGUGUUCAUGGCACAUAACCCUCAAAGCAGGCUGUUCCAGCAGUGGAGCUACAAGGUGCUAAAUGCAGAUCAGGUGGCCGGGGACCUUGAGGCUAAGGGAGUUGAGGAUGAGGAAUCGAGCACAGAGACUCUGGUUUGCUGCGUCCUGUCAGCACUGCAGAAACUGAACGAACAGCUUGAAAUAUCUAAGGCCCCUCCUGGAUCCAUGCUGGAUGAGACUCCGGAGCUGAUCGUCCCUCAGGAGGUUCUCCAUCAGCUUUUGGCUCGAGAGGAGCUCCAGAGCCCACAACAGUACCUGCAGGCCUACAACUCACCCUUAAACAUCAGCAUGGACUUUGGACAAGUCAUUCGAAGCAGCUGCCUCACCACAGUUUAACUUUUUGAACGAAAUUAAAGACCUUACCUGUGGACAUGCUUUCCCCAGGAGAUAAACCAUCCAGGAGACCUGCUGAAUGCUCCAGAGGCUGGGGACUGCUGCCAGGAGUGGUGGGGGGCUGUGGAGGAGGAAGAAAGAGGGUAAGAUGGCAGACGUUCAAGACAGGGAUGCGUGGGAUGGAUGACAAACAAACCAAGUCAGGGCAUCCCUCACUGGGAGACAGCUUGGAGGCUGCUGUUGUUCUGUCUGAGCGUAGUACAUGGUAAACCAGGUUCUUCUUCCCGUUGGUCUGAUCACCGGCUUACAUGAUUGGCCUCUGCAGCGUUGAUUCUGGUUCAACUUCUUCCUGCACGGCCACUGUGGUUUUUUACCUGCACCCCAUGCAGUCCUCACUCCCACAGCCUAAACACACUGCCCCCAUUUAACUGAAUGGAAGGACUGACGUUUUUCCCAUUUUGCCAGAUUUAGAGUGAACGCAGCCUUAGAUGUUAAAACUUUCUCUGCACUAUUCUGCACAAUACCGCAAAAUAUUAUCCAUAAUGUGCAACAAAUAUAUUAAUUAAAAUGGAAA